rnacentral:rRNA from 1 species
UACGUAGGGUGCGAGCGUUGUCCGGAAUUACUGGGCGUAAAGGGUUCGUAGGUGGCCUGCUAAGUCAGACGUGAAAUCCCUCAGCUUAACUGGGGAACUGCGUCUGAAACUGGCGGGCUUGAGUGCAGGAGAGGAACGCGGAAUUCCAGGUGUAGCGGUGAAAUGCGUAGAUAUCUGGAGGAACACCGGUGGCGAAGGCGGCGUUCUGGACUGCUACUGACACUGAGGAACGAAAGCCAGGGGAGCAAACGGG